GCACCUUGGAUGCAGAGUGCUUUCCUUCCCCGGAACUUGAGGCACUUCACAGGCAUUUUCUUUCUGAACCUCACAACAUCUCCCUAAGAAACAAGAAUGCUUCUUACUGUUUUUGUUUGCUGAAAAUGGAGAUAAUUUAGGUGGGAGCCUCCCUGUUACUUUAUCAUGGCCUGAGAAGAUGUGUCAAAUAACUAGAAUUUAAAAGGUUAUUCAACUUAGAGGAGACCUUUGACCUAAACCCUUGACCUAAACUAGGCCAGUUGGAAUCUACUUACACUUUGAAUCUUGAAAAGAAAACACUCAAAUAAAAAAGAAAAUAAAGCUUUGUCAUUCUUUGGGAGCUUCCCAAGGAUUCUGAACAUGAAUUCUUGCC